CACUGCUGGGGGAAAGGGAGGACACCUAACCCCAGAUUGCCUUUGGAAUCUCCUUUGUGGCUCCUUGAAUUAGCUUGGUAGUUUAGCUGUGAGUGGUGGUUGGAACAAGAGUCAACUGUUACCUGCCUAGCUGUUAAAAACUGUUGUUUUUCAGUUUUCAGCAGUGACAUUGUAAAUUGAAACCAGAAAAAAGUCUCAAUUUUUUUUUUUUUUACAAUUCUAGUAGACCUCAGCAAAUUCCUUUUCUCAAGGUCAGUCUUUCAGGGUUUGCAAACCUAAUGCUAGGUCAGCAUAUAAGGCUUAUGAGGUGAGUUUUCCAUAUAGCAAUUUGAAACCCUGUGGGUAGAAAGACUUUAUUCAAGUCUUCCUACCCAUUGUAGAUUUGCUCAGUAUGAAUCUGCUGAUACUGUUGUGUUUCAGAGUGACGCAGAUAGUGUGUGUUUGAUCUGCCAUGAACUGUGCACUGGAGGAGGAGGAGGGGGAGUAGGAGGAGCCCAUGAACUUCACUGUUCCCACCGCUUCCACAAAGAGUGCAUUGAAGAGUGGCUGUGGAUCAAGCAGUCAUGUCCCACCUGUCGUGUCCAUGUUGUCAUGCCUGAACCUGUCUACUGGUCCUCUGCCCGAGUUCAGUUUCCCUGAUGACCCCUGCAACAUACACCUGCAUGACCUUUCCUGUUUUUGAGUGGGAAAAGGAACAUCCACUAGACUUUUGCAUGGCAGGACCAUAGUCAGUCUUCCCCAUGAUUAAUGAUAUUAAUGUCCACUUACCAUCUCACUGUUGCAUGCACGCGAAAGUUUUGUGGGUGCAAAUCGGAUGGACGAUUAUCCUGGCUAUGUUUAUGAAGAACAUUCAUGUUUACUGUCAAAUUGAAUGUGCAGAAGCUGAUCUGGACAUGUAGGAUGAGAUUUGGAUUAUUGUGAGCUUUCACUGGUGCGUGCAGUUGUUGCCUGAGAUAAGGCAGCUAUCAUGAAAGUGUGCGUUUCUGCAUCUGGCCAUCCAGAACUCUUAUCCUUAUCCUUAUCUUCUUCUUGAAGCCUAGUUCCAGUCCUACCCCUUCUUCUCCAGUCCUUUUCCCUGCCUUUCCCCACAAAAGGCAAGCUUUUUAACGAAACAGUGAUGCCAAAUGCAGCCUUUUUUGUUACGUCUUUGAUUUCAGUGCUCCUUUCAGUCACAUUAUAUCUUAAAGUGGCACUGAAGAUUGUGAUACGAUUCUGAAGAUAUGUUAAGGUCUUGCAUCUGAACACUGUUGUUACCAUGUUUAGUGCACUAUGGUCAGGUUUCCCAGACACAAAUUGUGUAAGUGUAUUUAGUGCAGUGGUGAUUCAUCAUUGAACCUCCUGUUUUAGACUAGGUUUAGGGUUAACUGUGUUAAACUAGUGCCGAAUGGCCGGAUGUAGUGUGUUUUUCAGAUGUUACCCAAUGAUUUCAAGGUGGCCUCAGCGCCACUCACUGUCAAAUUAAAUGAAGAACCGUAUACAUAAAAUAAAGAAGAUAAAGGUCUAACAAGGUUAAGUGGAAACACCGUCUUC
ensembl:lncRNA